ACAACACAACACAAUCUUCAUCAACACACAAAACAACAAUGACUUUCAGCAUCAUCUUCAUCUGGACGCUCACAGUGUUUGCUCAAGAGUGUAGAGGACAGUACACUGUUACUCAGACUCCAUCAAUAACAGCAGUUCAACCAGGACAACAUGUUCAAAUAAAGUGUAAAGUCAGCAGUGCAGUAUACACAGAUAGCCAUGGUCCCCGAAUGAGCUGGUACUUACAGAAACCUGGAGAAGCUCCUAAACUCCUCAUAUAUCUCGCAACAAGCCGCCAGUCUGGAGUAUCAUCUAGAUUCAGUGGCAGUGGAUCAAACACAGAUUUUACUCUGAGCAUCAGUGGAGUUCAGACUGAAGAUGCAGGAGAUUAUUACUGUCAGAGUUUUCACAUUGAUUUUGUGUUGACACAGUGAUAAAGAGUCGUACAAAAACCUCCGUCAGUCAGACUGAACAGUGACUGCACUGACACACUUCACACAUACUGCAGCUGCUCAUACAACACAAACACACACAACACUGAUCACAAAU